rnacentral:rRNA from 1 species
UACGUAGGGUGCAAGCGUUAAUCGGAAUUACUGGGCGUAAAGAGCGUGUAGGCGGCCAAGCAGGUCCGCUGUGAAAACUCGAGGCUCAACCUCGAGACGUCGGUGGAAACCGUUUGGCUAGAGUCCGGAAGAGGAGAGUGGAAUUCCCGGUGUAGCGGUGAAAUGCGCAGAUAUCGGGAAGAACACCCGUGGCGAAGGCGGCUCUCUGGGACGGUACUGACGCUGAGACGCGAAAGCGUGGGGAGCGAACAGG